UGGCUUAGUGGUUAAGAGCACUGACUGUUGUUCCAGAGGACCUGGGUUCAAUUCCCAG
rnacentral:tRNA from 1 species